rnacentral:rRNA from 1 species
CGGAGGAAAAGAAACUAACAAGGAUUCCCCUAGUAACGGCGAGCGAAGCGGGAAGAGCUCAAAUUUGAAAUCUGGUGGCCUCAGGUCAUCCGAGUUGUAAUCUAUAGAAGUGUUUUCCGUGCUGGCCCAUGUACAAGUCCCUUGGAACAGGGCGUCAUAGAGGGUGAGAAUCCCGUCCUUGACAUGGACUACCAGUGCUCUGUGAUACACUUUCAACGAGUCGAGUUGUUUGGGAAUGCAGCUCAAAAUGGGUGGUAAAUUCCAUCUAAAGCUAAAUAUUGGCGAGAGACCGAUAGCGAACAAGUACCGUGAGGGAAAGAUGAAAAGCACUUUGGAAAGAGAGUUAAACAGUAUGUGAAAUUGUUGAAAGGGAAACGAUUGAAGUCAGUCGUGCUCAAUGGACUCAGCCGUUCUGCGGUGUAUUUCCAUUGGGUGGGGUCAACAUCAGUUUUGAUCGCUGGAUAAAGGCAGGAGGAAUGUAGCACCCCCGGGUGAACUUAUAGCCUCUUGUCACAUACAGUGGUUGGGACUGAGGAACGCAGCAUGCCUUUAUGGCCGGGAUUCGUCCACGUACAUGCUUAGGAUGUUGACAUAAUGGCUUUAAACGACC